GCGGCUCUCUCUGUCACCGUGUCCCGUCCUAGUAGCUAGGAGCGACCACGGAAAUACGUGCGAUACCACGCGGAUUUUCCAGCCUCUCCAUCCCGUCGAUUCCGGUUACUAGUGGGCAAGGAGCGGGGAGUAACUGAGAAGUGCGCCGCUAAUAUUCGUUGCUGCGGCCAUUACGCGAGCGGCCAAGGGCGAGCGACCGUUGUGCGUCCCAGUUGGAUCUGAUUAACUCGUGAUUGAAGGACCAGAUUGAACCGUGAUUACGCUAUUCCUUCGUUAUUCAACGUCGUACGACCCACUGGGUGAAGAGGUAACUAGAGCGUCGACAUGGGUAAAGAGAAGAUUCAUAUAAACAUCGUGGUGAUCGGCCACGUCGACUCGGGCAAAUCAACCACCACCGGUCAUCUCAUCUACAAAUGCGGCGGUAUCGACAAGCGUACAAUCGAGAAGUUCGAGAAGGAGGCUCAGGAGAUGGGCAAGGGCUCGUUCAAGUACGCCUGGGUAUUGGACAAGCUGAAAGCUGAACGCGAACGUGGUAUCACCAUCGAUAUAGCCCUGUGGAAAUUCGAAACGGCCAAGUACUACGUAACCAUCAUCGACGCACCUGGCCAUCGUGAUUUCAUCAAGAACAUGAUCACCGGGACGAGUCAGGCUGAUUGUGCCGUCUUGAUCGUAGCGGCUGGUAUAGGUGAAUUCGAAGCCGGCAUCUCGAAGAACGGACAAACGCGCGAGCAUGCUUUGCUAGCGUUCACACUCGGCGUGAAACAGCUGAUCGUCGGUGUGAACAAGAUGGACAUGACCGAUCCGCCGUAUUCGGAGAGCCGUUUCGAGGAGAUCAAGAAAGAGGUGUCGUCGUACAUCAAGAAGAUCGGUUACAACACCGGAUCGGUGGCGUUCGUGCCGAUUUCCGGCUGGCACGGUGACAAUAUGCUCGAACCAUCGCCAAAGACACCGUGGUACAAGGGAUGGAAAGUGGAGCGUAAAGAUGGCAACGCCGAUGGGAAAACCUUGAUCGAAGCGCUCGAUGCUAUACUGCCGCCGUCCAGACCUAUCAGCAAGGCUCUUCGUUUACCGCUUCAGGACGUUUACAAGAUCGGUGGUAUCGGUACUGUACCGGUCGGUCGUGUGGAGACCGGUAUUUUGAAGCCAGGUAUGCUGGUGACAUUUGCCCCAACAGCGCUCACCACUGAAGUAAAAUCGGUCGAGAUGCAUCACGAGGCGUUAACAGAGGCGUUGCCCGGCGACAACGUCGGCUUCAACGUGAAGAACAUCUCCGUGAAGGAGUUGAGGCGUGGUUACGUCGCUGGCGACUCGAAGAAUCAGCCGCCUCGAGGGGCGGCCGAUUUCACGGCUCAGGUGAUCGUUCUUAACCAUCCUGGACAGAUCUCCAACGGUUACACGCCGGUGUUGGACUGUCACACCGCUCAUAUCGCCUGCAAAUUCGCGGAGAUCAAGGAGAAAUGCGACCGUCGUACCGGCAAAACCACUGAGGAGAACCCGAAGAGCAUCAAAAGCGGGGACGCUGCUAUCGUGAUGUUGCAGCCCACUAAACCAAUGUGCGUCGAGGCUUUCCAGGAGUUUCCGCCGUUGGGUCGCUUCGCGGUUCGCGACAUGCGUCAGACCGUCGCCGUGGGCGUCAUUAAGCUUUGAUCCUGGUAGAACGAUGCGUGCUCCUUUGUUCUGUCGGUUUUUGCGGAGAAUAAAGGAAACGUGAGAGAAGGCUGAAAGGGUAGUCCGUGAAGGAUGAUUUGAGUGUCACCUUCAAAGAUACCCAGGGCAAGGUCACAAAGGCCGCGGAGAAAGCCCAGAAG
rnacentral:misc_RNA from 1 species